GGUAGGUUAGCUCAGCGGUUAGAGCUUACGUCUUGUAAACGGAAGGUCCCGGGAUCGAAUCUCGCCAAAGGCA
rnacentral:tRNA from 1 species